rnacentral:snoRNA from 1 species
ACCCUGGAUGAUGAGGAGCUAAUCACUUAUAUCCUCAAUGGCCUAGAUGAAGAUUUUGAUUCCGUUGUCUCCACAAUCGUUGGUAGGGUUGAACCUAUCACAGUUGCGGAGGUUUACUCACAGCUUCUGAGUUUUGAGA